UUUGCAUACUUACUAAACUUCAGAUCAUCCUAAUAUGAAGCAGAGCUUAAGGUCUCUAGUUAUGCUUAUCAAAGUCGUAUCUUAAAUUCGGGCACAACUUCAAUAAGUUCAAAGAUAGCACCAGUAGGCUUUCAUGUUUCCUGAUUUCUUUUAAAAACAGAUCAUGUCUUAUAUUGGACAAAGUAUGGGUUUAUUUCUAAAGAGCAAAUACUAUGUGGUUAACAGCUUUAUAAUUCCACCAAGCCUAUCACCAAGACAAACAUAGCACAGCAGAAAAUUAUUUAACGCAAAUAUGUUAACUGAAAUAACGUAAGCAAUAAUAACUGACUUCAUGAGCAUACCAUUGGCUGUCAAUCAAUCCCCCAUUAUUACAUUAACUCAGUAGUCAAAUAUAUUAACUGUGUAGUCAAAUCAAGUGAGUGAAUUAACCCUUCGGCUUAAGGAUUAAUUCACACAGGGAGUGAAUUAACCCUUCGGCUUAAGGGUUAAUUUACUAUGGAAAGGCAGACUUUUUAGAAUAUUAUCAGAUUAUUCUUAUAAUAAUUAAACAUAUUUAAUGCUUUGG